UACAGAGGGUGCAAGCGUUAAUCGGAAUUACUGGGCGUAAAGCGUGCGUAGGUGGUUUGUUAAGUCAGGCGUGAAAUCCCGGGGCUCAACCUCGGAAUGGCGCUUGAUACUGACUGACUCGAGUGUGGUAGAGGAUAGUGGAAUUCCCGGUGUAGCGGUGAAAUGCGUAGAUAUCGGGAGGAACAUCAGUGGCGAAGGCGGCUAUCUGGACCAACACUGACACUGAGGCACGAAAGCGUGGGUAGCAAACAGG
rnacentral:rRNA from 1 species